UGAUCGUUUAGACAGUGCGACCAUCUAAAUUAUAGCCUGGACAGGCAAAUGGCUCCACCGCUUUUUAGAAAACGUUGACCAAGCUAUGUAUUGAUAUCGGAAAGGAAAUGUAUUUGUUCACUCUGAGGACAAUGUCCCAUUCUAUACUAUCAUGGGGGCUGGCGGCAACAGGAGUAGCAGUGUUCAAACCUGUACUUAUUAACUUAUUACUCACUGCUACUGUGCCGCACACUAUUCCGAAUCCGAAGUGACUCAUGUUAACUAGUUGGGGCGAGCAGGAGCGUUUAUAGCGUGGGUAGAUCUAAAGCCACAAGAGCAGCCAGAGAAAGUGAAAAGGAAAAAAAAUCCACAGCCAGAGAGUCAGCAUUGGCAGCAGCUAUAUGCUGAGUAUCGGCGCUGUGUUUUUUUUCUCUCCCUCCCUCGUUUACUUCUCAGAUCUUUCGCUCCUUAAAAAAAAAAAAAAAAGACACCCCUCCAAGUUAUGCGUUAAUGGUACGACCCGGGCCAUCUGACAGGCCCAAAAAACUCACUGUGCUGCUGUGAGUGCCAAUCAAAGAGGAGCGCUCGCAGGGAUUACCUUGGGUGACCCUGCGUAGAUUAGUGCGUGCAUGUGAGAUGGACAAUUCUUUGGGCGGCUUAAGCGGCUCGAUGACACGCUUUCCUGGAAUCCGUGCAGCGGUGUUGUGGCCAGGCAGCCCUUCUAAGGAGCCCCACCAUGGUGCACUCGCGCCUUUCCGCCGCUCCCGCUGCCGCUGCCAUGGCCCGACCGGAGGCUAAGCCCGCAUCUGCAGUGCCAGAGAGCCGUGGCCUGCUGCGAACCAAAUGCUUUUUUUUCGUGAGCGGCAACAAAUGAGCUUAAAGGAAUUCCAGCAGGACAGCAUAAUUUCAGUUGACCCACAGCUGCAUCCCCCGAAGCCAAUGCAACUGUGGAGGAAGGGGAAAGCAGGUGGCACUAUACCGGCGUAUGGCCGUGCCCGCCACUCACUGUGGCCAGCGCCAGGGCACUCGGGUGACACAGGACUAAAAGUCACGCAAAGGAAGAUAGAAACACGACGAUCGCGCGUCGAGGGAGAGUGUGGACUGACACUCAGAAGCCAUGCUGGUGACUUUAGGUCGAGCCACGUUGGUGGGGAAUAAACGUCCCUAGCCCGAGACAGCCUCGACCUCUGUUUUAUUUUUUUUCGCCUCCUUCUGUUUUAAUUAUAUCUCUGUCCUCCUGUCUGCCUGCACGUCUUUUUUCUGUUCCCACCACUGAGUUAAGCACAUUCCAUGGCCCCAUCUGGUACCAGCAUGGCUUGGCAUAGUCCGACUUGUUCCAGCGCAGCACUUUCAUGGAACACUAGUGUGUGUGUGUGUGUGUGUGUGUGUGUGUGUGUGUGUGUGUGUGUGUGUGUGUGUGUGUGUGUGUGUGUG
ensembl:lncRNA